rnacentral:tRNA from 1 species
ACAUUGGUGGUUCAAUGGUAGAAGUCCCACCUUCCAUGUGGGAGACCUGAGUUCAAUUUCCAGCCAACAUG